UACGUAGGUGGCAAGCGUUGUCCGGAUUUAUUGGGCGUAAAGAGCUCGUAGGCGGUUCGGCAAGUCGGGUGUGAAACCCCCAGGCUCAACCUGGGGACGCCACCCCGAUACUGCUGUGACUUGAGUCCGGUAGGGGAGCGUGGAAUUCCUGGUGUAGCGGUGAAAUGCGCAGAUAUCAGGAGGAACACCAGCGGCGAAGGCGGCGCUCUGGGCCGGAACUGACGCUGAGGAGCGAAAGCGUGGGUAGCAAACAGG
rnacentral:rRNA from 1 species